AGCGAACGCUGGCGGCAGGCCUAAUACAUGCAAGUCGAGCGCACCUUCGGGUGAGCGGCGGACGGGUGAGUAACGCGUGGGAACGUGCCCUUUGGUACGGGAUAACUGAGGGAAACUUCAGCUAAUACCGUAUGUGCCCUACGGGGGAAAGAUUUAUCGCCAUUGGAGCGGCCCGCGUUGGAUUAGGUAGUUGGUGAGGUAAAGGCUCACCAAGCCUACGAUCCAUAGCUGGUCUGAGAGGAUGAUCAGCCACACUGGGACUGAGACACGGCCCAGACUCCUACGGGAGGCAGCAGUAGGGAAUCUUGCGCAAUGGGCGAAAGCCUGACGCAGCCAUGCCGCGUGAAUGAUGAAGGUCUUAGGAUUGUAAAAUUCUUUCACCGGGGAAGAUAAUGACGGUACCCGGAGAGGAAGCCCCGGCUAAAUUCGUGCCAGCCGCCGCGGUAAGAC
rnacentral:rRNA from 1 species